AGCUUGGAGAGAAGGAGACCUUCAUGGAAGUGCAUCAGCCAUGGACUCUCUCCUGUCUUUGUUGGAUCCAUGGGAGAAUCCAAUGAUCCCAGGAUAGAGCAGACUCGAACCAUCUGGAAGAAAUGUAAAGCAGAACCCCAGGAAUAAACCACACAUCCAUAAGUAUCCAAAAGGAUCUGCAGGAUUCUUCAGGCCUGCCUAUAUUUUGUAAGGGAUCAUGGAACAAACCCGUGGAUCUCACAGAGAAGAUAAGUGAGAGUCCAUCGCUGAUGCACCUUCAUGGACAUUUUCUUCUCCACCAAGCUGCAAGGAUCUGUCACUAAUCAACGUUGUUAUUAAUUUUAAUGCUACUCUAAUUUGCAGUCAGUCCUGGUGCUCUGAGACAAGCACAUGCACAUUCAUGAGGCAGGCAUAAAUACCUGGCUGUCAGAGUGGUCAGUGUGUCAAAGCAGAUGAAAAUGGUACAGGAAAAGGAGGUGUGCUAUUGGGAAACAGGCUGCUUGCCAAAACUCACUAUAGGACCCUAAAAGUCUCUACCUUAGGGCCUCUUCAGGCUGUCUCUGUGGUCGGAUCAUGCUGGAGGAGAAGGCAUUUCGAGACCAUAAGAGAGUGUCCCAGAAUGAAAACCCAAGAUGAUGGAGGAGUGUCCGCUCGUGAUGUGAAGCACCUGCUCAGCUGGGAACUGAAUUUGAGGUGA
rnacentral:lncRNA from 1 species